rnacentral:lncRNA from 1 species
AGCUAUCGCUUACUUCCGGUAUACUUCCGGAAAAUUUGCAUGAAACUAACAAGUGAGCUUUGUUCUCUGUAGAAUUCUAAAGAUUCCAUGCUAAUUUAAGCAAAGAGUAAUGGUCUUUUUGAUUACUUUUUAUGACUUGUGACUAUCUAAGGCCAGUCCUUUAGAUAUUGAGUUUUGAACGUGUCAAAUAGAUGGCGUGAUAGAAUGUUGUUUGUUUGUUGUGUCACAUAUGGGCUCGUUCGUUGUCAAAAGUUCAGCUACAGCUAUCUUCUUCGAAAAUUACCAAUGAAUUCGCUUGUAAAUUGACUAGAUUUCCUGUGCAAUUUGUUUGGCAUGUGUUGUUUACCGAAUAUGUGUUUUUAAUAACAUCAUUAUUUCUCCUCCAUUUCCAGGAAAAAAUGUGAAAGGUGCAUGAAGCCAGUACUGUCAACUAUUGUGUUAAAACUCCUGGUACCCUACAGAAUAUGUCAUCCAAAUGACAGAGUGGAUUCAUCACUAUUAUCGGCUGAAUCAUUCUAUGGGACUUGCCUGAUCACCAACCCAAGCAUGGACCAAUUUCUCAUUCCAUCUUCUAGAGAACCUUACAUAACCGAUCCGACCUUAGUGUGUUUUAGGUUUCUAAUGUAGCAUGAUAUAGACUAUGAGAAGUCAUGUUGUUUGAAGGAAAAGGACUAUGCAGUCGACAAGGUUCUUUGCUAACCUGUUGGCUGCUACCCUUGAAUCUCCCUGUUUACUUCCUUACACGGGUCCUCUUGAUUUGAGGGUAAUCCUUCGCUAUACUGAUCACAUCCACUGGUGAAAACCGACAAGAGAAUGCUGUAAUCCAAGACUGAUACAUUGUGUAGUUGGUAGAUAAAUGACAAUUGCAUAUCUGGGCUCCCUUCUUUUCUGUGGCCCCGUUUCCCUAACUAACCACUACCCAACGCCCGCCGGUGGUCACUCACCCGCUGUG